GAUGAACGCUGGCGGCGUGCCUAAUACAUGCAAGUCGAGCGAACAGACGAGGAGCUUGCUCCUCUGACGUUAGCGGCGGACGGGUGAGUAACACGUGGAUAACCUACCUAUAAGACUGGGAUAACUUCGGGAAACCGGAGCUAAUACCGGAUAAUAUAUUGAACCGCAUGGUUCAAUAGUGAAAGACGGUUUUGCUGUCACUCAUAGAUGGAUCCGCGCCGCAUUAGCUAGUUGGUAAGGUAACGGCUUACCAAGGCAACGAUGCGUAGCCGACCUGAGAGGGUGAUCGGCCACACUGGAACUGAGACACGGUCCAGACUCCUACGGGAGGCAGCAGUAGGGAAUCUUGCGCAAUGGGCGAAAGCCUGACGGAGCAACGCCGCGUGAGUGAUGAAGGUCUUCGGAUCGUAAAACUCUGUUAUUAGGGAAGAACAAAUGUGUAAGUAACUAUGCACGUCUUGACGGUACCUAAUCAGAAAGCCACGGCUAACUACGUG
rnacentral:rRNA from 1 species